CAGCAGCAGCAACGGCCGCCAGCCAAGGAGCGGAUUGCGCGCUGCUUGCGUAACUUGUUUUCGUUCUUGCAGGUUGUCGAUUGCGUUCGUGGAACGUUUGUGUUGAAUUUACAAGAAUAUUUUAACCCUUGCCCUUUUGGUUUUUAUAAUGAACCUGUUGAUUACAUGGUUUUCAGGACAGGAUCCCGGAGCGCCAGGAUUCAUUUUAUGACUGUUUUUGUUUUGAUACUUGAUGUCUGUUUUUGUGUGUACAAAUGUCCGCUGUCAGCAGGGCUAUAAGCUCACUGACAGGAGUGCGCUGAUUUUUGUGUGUGUUGCCGAGUGUGUGGUGGACAGUCAAGUUUCAGAGACUUGGGGUGACGGUCCCGGGGCCCAGAUGGAAGCUAGAGGUUCCGUGGGCCUGGCUACAAUGAGUGUGGUGAUGAGAGGGGACGCUUUGCAGGUUCCUUUUGAUACGUAAUGACACAUUGGGUGAAUGUGUCAAAAGGGGGGAGUGGUAAAACAGGAAAGGCUUUAACAGGACACGCCAGAAUUCAACUAGCAGUGAUGGAAGGAGCAGAAGAAGCGUCUUGAAAGAAAGGGAGUUGACGGGAGACAACAGCCUGGAAUGGAUGCGAAGCGUGGUAACAAUUUAGUGACAAUAAGGUUUAAGGUUUUUCAAUGACAAAGUACGAAGGACAAAUCAUACAGUGAUUUGGGAAUGGACAGUGGCACAGUACACGACAAAAGUUUGGAAGGUCAUUGAAUGUCAGAGGACGACGGGGCCAGAGACAAGGAAGGGGGAAAUUUCUGAACGCGUGACUGCAUUAAAGCUGCUAUUACAGGGCAAAGGUUUAAUUAUACAUUUUAGGACGAGUAGUUUGCAUAACGAAUACAGAAAGGAUUUGAGUGGCUGUACCGUUUUGAAAAGAUUACGUGAGCGUUGUUUCAGAAUGAUGACUGGUUUGAACAGUGAGGUGGCUCAAACAUAAGGCACAGAUACAUAAAGGUACAGACCUAGGAAACUACAGUAUUGUGAGGGGUACCGGUUUGAGAAUGCUACACAUCUUUAGACUGAAGAAGGAAUUUGGGGGUGACAAAUAGUAUUUGGACGGGAAAAAGAGCGGCUGAAGUGACAUGACUGACGGGACUUCAGAAAGAUGACGGUGUGAUUGAGACAGGGACAUCUGCGACAGGAAAGGCUACCAGGAACAGGUAGAAUUUACAUUGUGACUGGGGGGAGCUAGCAACGCUGUCGGCACGACGAGAAAUGAGGGGAAUGAGUCCUGGAGUGUUUGCUUGUUUGUUUGCUUGUUUGUUUGUUUGUUUGUUUGUUUGUUUCAGGGACCGCGUGGGCCUCUGGAAACGAGGGGUAGGUGUCGGGAGCCCUCGGGCGUUCUGAUGAGAUUUCGAUGAGACGAUUGACACAGCUUUUUCCUCGUUGCCCCAUCACCGCCAAAUAAUUAUUUGAGGGGGCUGGAGACACUGGAGCUAUCGGGUUGUGUUGCCCUGCCAGCGGUGGCCGUCGGGGCCGGAAGGACGUCCGGCCUGGGCUGCGGCUUUUGCCAUUAUGACUUCACAUGUUUGCACUGUUAACGUCACUUGAUACAGACAGUAGCUUUAGCUUGUCAUAGGUCGCCUGGGUGCUGACCGGGGCCUUGCACGGGAUUCAACGGCCAUCAUAAGCAACAGGAGGACACUGAACGGACAGCCGGCCCGGGACGGUGCCGUCUACUACUAGUGCUAUUUUCCACUGACGGAUCAAUGGACUGGAUUUCAUAUCUGCACGUACUUGUGCAUGCAAGGGGGGCAGCGCAACGACGGGUUUAAUGUUCUUGCAUGCUUUGACGAUUUGUUUUUAUAUACCUCACUGUGUUACAUCUGUGUUUUUUGCCAUGAUGUUUACUUUAUUAUGUGACCUCAUUUGCUUGCCCCGUGGCAUGUUUACGAUACGACGUUGCAUGUUGAGCGAUCUGUGUUUGAGGGUCAUGGUUCUGCUUGUUGCUGUGUUUAGGGCUCAUGCUACGCUUUGUGAAAUGUGGUGUGUGCCGGAGCUCCCUUCACCUGACUCUCGCCAGGUGAGAGGCGCCUCCGGGGGUGUAGAAUGGGCCUCCCUCUUUUUCCUCGUCAUUAGAUUGGCGAGGUUUUUUCGACGGCGGUCCGGCAGCUUUUUGGGGCUUCUAACGGGCCACAGCAAACUUUUCCUCUCCAAAUUGAUGGCGUUGGUGAUAUAUUACCGAAGGGGGGUGUGCGGACGGCGUCAAUCAGUUAAUGGGGUUGGGGGAUUCGAUCUUGGUCAAAUGUGGUUCCUGAGAGGCCUCAGAUUGCUGUCAGGGAGAAAUUUGCUAUUAAAUUAGGUUGAGCUUUCCUAGUUAAUGUAACCUUAAGUAGCAUGCCUUGAGCAUGAUUUAGGAUGAGACAAAUAGGUCCAAAUUGUAGACGAAAACCAUAAAAUGGUUGGGGGAAGGUUUUUGGAUGUACCGAUGUCUUUUCGUGUUGAGUUGUUGCCGGGGCACUUGUGGUACCCCGGCAGGGGGGUAUGUUGUGAAUUUUUAUUCUGGUAUCAUGCAAUGUAUAUCUCACUAGUAAGCCUAAGUACGACCAGGGCAUGUUCGGGUCAGGUUCGUGUGGUAUUGUUUGGGGCUUGGUCCAGGAAGGUAGACUCGUUGGCGCCAGACACAUCUGGCUUCCAUUAACGACUGCUAAGAUACACAUGAUGUAGAGCUGAGGAGGCAACUGCGGGGUCAUAGGUCAGCCAACAGCCCCAUCUGCGCGCUCCCGCGUGGAGGGAAGCGCAAGAGUAUAAGGUUUAGGACGAGAGUAGACAAAGGGACUCGACAUCUUGGCUAGGGCGCGAGACACUUCUCUCUGACAUCGGUUGAAUAAAAUCUUUCCCCAAUCA